CAUGUCUUUUUGAUUAUAAUUUAAAGUCUAAUCUGCACAAUGAUGAUUAAAUUGCCGCAGUAUCUUGACUGUGCAAAGGUAGCAUAAUAAUUAGUUUCUUGAUUAGGAACUGGAAUGAAUGAUUGGACGAGAAAAUUUCUGUCUCUUAUUAAGUGGUUUUUAAAUUUUAUUUUUAAGUAAAAAAGCUUAAAUGUGUAUAAAAGACGAGAAGACCCUAUAGAGUUUAAUAUUUUAUUUUUAAUUAGAUUUUAGGAAUAGUUUUUAAUUUAAAGUAUUUUGUUGGGGUGAUUUAAGGAUUUGAAAAAUUCUUUAAGAAUUAAAAUUGAUGAUUAUUAAAUUUUUUUAUCUAAAUUUUUUAAAUUUAAAACUAAUUACCUUAGGGAUAACAGCGUAAUUUUUCUUAAAAGCUCAUAUUGAAAGAAAAUUUUGCGACCUCGAUGUUGGAUUAAAAUAAAUUUUUGGUGCAGUAACUUAAAAAUUAGGUCUGUUCGACCUUUAAUAUUUUACAUGAUCUGAGUUUAAACCGGUGUAAGCCAGGUUGGAUUCUAUCUUUAGAAUUAUUGUAUAUUUUAGUACGAAAGGACCAAAUAUAUAUUAUAUAUUAAUUG
rnacentral:rRNA from 1 species